GGGCUCAGUAGAAAACACAGGCAGGGGAGGCAGUGAGCUCCCACCUCUCAGCAGCAGUUCUUUCCUCCAGGAGUUCCUUUUUCACAUCAAGUCAACUCAACAAGUAUUUGCCAGGCGUCCACUGUGAGCAGGACACUACAUGAAGGCAGAUCUAUGAAGUGAAGGCUGCUCCAGGGAGCUGGAGUUUGUUUGUGCAGCAGCUAAGAAAGGGCUUUGGCGCUGGAGGCUGCGAGGAAGCCAGUAACAGGGAGACUGGCAGAGGGACCCACCCCGCCAUACUCAAAGCAUGAAAAAGUUCCCUGGUCAGGGACUGAAUCUGAGUUAUAGCAGCAACUGGAGCCACUGCAGUGAGAAUCUCUGAUCCUUAACCUGCUGCACCACAAGGAAACUCCAAGAACAGAGCAUCUGGUUCCUGUCACGUCCCUGGUGACAAGGAGGAGCUACAGCUCUCCCCACACAAAGCGGCCUGGAUGGAAGCCCAGCAGAGCCCUCGAACUCGCGCUGUCACCUUUCUGGUCCCUGGCUAUGUGGCUUGUCUGCUGAACAAAAUGUGUGUUGUUUGUCAACCCCUGGGGCUCCUUUUCCCUCCCUUCCAAAGGGACCACUUUUCUAUUGUGCACAUUUAAAAAGCACAGUAAGGUGAAAGGAAAUGAAGCAGCUUCUGAAAACAAAGGCUAGAAGAGCCUGUGUUCCAAACAGAAUUUUCUGAUCUUUUCGCCUUACUUGCUGUUCAGAAGUGGAACUUGAAACUGCCAUCUCAAGUUUUGCUUUGCAAAGGAAGCCAAGAAAGUUCAUUAAAACCUCCAUCUUCCUAGGGGCUCAAGUAGGGGAGGAAUGUUGCCAAGUAAGCACUGGCUCCCUCUUUCCCUUUUCCUUGAAGAACUGAUAUUAAGAAAGGCGAUUAACUGAUUUGCUAGGCCAAGGAUCCAACCCAGGUCACAGCAGUGACAAUGCCAGAUCCUUACCUACUGCACCACCAGGGAACCCCAGUUAACCAUGUUUCUAUCACAAAGAAAUAAUUUAGUUUCAAAUCUGAGAAAAAUCGAGGAAGAAUUAAAGAAUCUCAGGCUUUUUCAGAUGUUUGUCCACAUUUGCUGGCAUUUUUUUUUUUAAUCAACACAUCUUUUCUGACCAAAAACUAUUCUUUUUAUACUAUUUGAUUGAGAAUUUCAAUUUUUCCCAACAAUCUCAGUGGAGUUUAAAUUUGAGCCUGAGCUACAAUGUUUAGGAUGAAAUCUUUUUCCCACUCUUGCUGGGCCAGAACCCCUAUGGGGGAGGCAGGCAAUCAGCCAACCCCUGAGUUUCCAGGGACCUGCCUUCUGCCGGUCACUGCAGGAACAGGGACCACCAACGCUCAGGGGACAGGAGCCCUGCCACACUCGCUUCCACAUUUAGCCCCAUCCUGAUGGAGACAUCCUGAAUCAUGUAGUGCAGGAAUGAAUCUAUACAACCACACAAUUUAUCUUCAUUUUCAGUAUUCAAAAUCACACACACACACACACACCAAACCCACAGAGCUGCAGCUUAGAUUUCACCAUUUCAGUAGCGGAUGUCAUAUACUAUCUUGUUUCAUGGUUUAUCAUGUUUUGCACAGUUGCAGUUAUUUUACUUCCUCUGAGAUGAUGCAACAUUGUGAGCUAGAGUGGCACGUGGGUGGUGGGUGCAGGAGGGUAUGUACCUCCUUACUACAGUACUGAGGACACCUUUUUUUUGUCCAUACCCACGGCAUAUGGAAGUUCCCAAGCCACAGCUACGGCAACCCCAGAUCCUUAACCCACUGUCUAGCCAGGGAGCAAACCUGCGCUGCCACAGAGACAACACCAGGUCCUUAAUGUGUUGUGCCACAGUGGGAUCUCCUCGAGGACACCUUUUAAUGUUAUUAGUACAACAGGUUAUACUGACAAGGAGACCAGGGUGCUGAAUAUAUAAGGAUCAGGGUCUGCAUUUCCCUAACUGGAUCCUGUCAGAAAAAGAGACAAGAAAGGUAUUGCAUAUUAAUAUAAAGUUUGGGUUCAGAUGCUACUGUGGCAUAGAAGCCCCAUUAUGUGUGAGUAUUCCAACUUCUAGACAGUUUGGGGGCUGUCAUUUGGUCUUCCUCAUAAGACCACCACUAUCUAGACUAUAACUCUAAGCCAGCGCUAGUCUAUCACUUUCUCCUAGAGUUACUAACAUGUUCUUCUAGAACAGGUCUAUGUCUUGCCUGCUUUGUAGCUGAGCCCCUUGCUCAGUGCCUGGCACACCACAGGGCACUGUCAUGGGUGUUCUCCAUGCGCCCCACAGAUCCACGCUCCACCCUUGUCCACCCUGCUCUGUGCUGCAUCAGGAAGGGUUUCUUGCCUCCAACUUCUGGCUGGAUUCUACCAGUGGAGCUCACUGGCAGGAGACUGGGUGAGGGGCAGAGAUUAGAGCCCCUUUGAUCAGGCUUCCAUUUGGCAGAGGCUACAUCCCUCUACUGAAACCGCCAGGGCCAGCAGGUGGCCUCUCCCCUGGCUGUGGUCCUCACUCCCUCUCACCCAUGAUUAUUCCCUCCCUUUCUCCUUCAGGUCUAGGGUAAAGGCUCCCUCUGCUGCUAGUCUCAGCCAGCAUCGGGGUUCUGGGUGAACCCACCCACAUAGUAUCUGCAAAGUUGGGAAGCACACCUAGUUCUCAGUCUGUAUCUCUUAUGCAUGUAAAGAAAUCUCUAGAAGUACUUCUCAAACAGUGCUCCCAAAGUUCACUGGGAAACUGGGACUAAAAGAAGCAGUCAGAGCUUUAGUCCUUGCUCUUAUUUACUUUUUAUUUUACAUACUGGAUUUCCCAGUAAGUUAUAACUGGACAAACAGGGUUACCUAAUUUUUAGUUUAAAAAAAACACAAAGCCACAGAUGCAUUAAGGAACGUUAAGUGGUUUGACAUCAAAGCCUUUAUCUUGUUCACUGAUAAUCCCCAAAAUUUGGAGGAGGGGAGACAGAGAGUCGGUCUCUGAUAAAUAUUUGUUGAAAAAAAAAUGCAUGAAAAUCUAUUAACCCAUUUAAUCCUUACAACAGCCUUAAAAGAAAGAUGUGGCAGGUAUUUUCUCCUACACUUUCAUAGGAACAAACUCAACUUCAGAGCCUUGACCAGAUGCAGGUCAUCUAUACCCCCAAUGAGUUUGAUCCCAGUGGUUUAUUAAAAGUAAAUAUGCCUAGGAGUUCCCAUCAUGGCUCAGAGGAAACAAAUCUGACUAGUAUCCAUGAGGACACAGGUUCGAUCCCUGGCCUCUCUCAGUGGGUUAAGGAUCUGGUGGUGCCAUGAGCUGUGGUAUAGAUCACAGAUGAGGCUUGGAUCUGGUGGUGCUGUGGUGUAGACCUACAGCUACAGCUAUGAUUCAACCCCUAGCCUGGGAACCUCCAUAUGCCAUGGGUUCAGCCCCCCACCCCACCCCAAAAAAGAGUACAUAUGCCUGUAAUAAAAUUGAAAUCAUAUCAAUCAUCUUUUCUGAUGACAACACUAUAAGACUAGAAAUUACAAGGAAAAAAACUAUAUGGAGUUCCCAUUAUGGCUCAGCAGGUUAAGAAUCAGACUAGUAUCCAUGAAUGAGGAUGUGGGUUUGAUCCCUGACCUCAAUCAUUUGGCUAAAGGAUCCAGCAUUGCCGCAAGCUGUAGUGUAAGUCAGAGACAUGGUUCAGAUCUGGCAUUGCCAUGGCUGUGGCAUAGGCUGGCAGCUGCAGCUCUGAUUCGACCCCUAGCCUGGGAUCUUCCAUGUACCAUGGGUAGGACUUAAAAAGACAAAAA
rnacentral:lncRNA from 1 species